rnacentral:rRNA from 1 species
UACGUAGGUGGCAAGCGUUGUCCGGAAUUAUUGGGCGUAAAGCGCGCGCAGGCGGUCCUUUAAGUCUGAUGUGAAAUCACGUGGCUCAACCACGUGCGGUCAUUGGAAACUGGAGGACUUGAGUGCAGAAGAGGAAAGUGGAAUUCCAAGUGUAGCGGUGAAAUGCGUAGAGAUUUGGAGGAACACCAGUGGCGAAGGCGACUUUCUGGUCUGUAACUGACGCUGAGGCGCGAAAGCGUGGGGAGCAAAC